CUGCCCACUGCAAGCCCACAGGCUCCAAGGAGGAGGAACCUGAGUGCGCCAUGAGCCUUUUGAGACAGGCCCAAGCCCACCCAGCCGGGUGCUAACCUCGCAUCCGCCAGGCUUGCAGGUUCCACCAGGACUAGGGAAGCCUAAGGCCAAGGAGGGCAAGGUCUAGGGUCUGGACCUGAGAACUGGUUCUGCCACUUGUGAUCGCAGCGCUUAUGCUGGAAAGGAGGGCAGAAAGCAUAUCGCAACGUGUGUCCGGACGAUGACCCAGAACGGGGGAGUUGUGGUCACCCACGGACUCUGGGUCUGCAUAUGGAGGCCCCCAGGGUGCAAUUCCAGGAGCAGAAGGCAAAGCCACAGAGGCCAAAGUGCACCUCGCCGAUGCUUCCCAGGGGCAUUGCCCCAAAUAUGGGGAGCAGUCCCUCCUCUGGGCUAGGGACUUUGUUUCCUCCAUUGUCAUCACUGACUGUGAGCAGACUCUAGUCUAUGCAGACUAAUGAGGAGUUAUCAAAAUGAGCUCCAAACUCCAGAUUUGAGUUAAGGAUCAUAAAUUAACACAGAGAAAUACGACUUUAGCAAUAUGUGACUGUUUGAAGCCCAAGUUGCCUUAAAACACGGAAUUUCAGUCUUUCAGCUCCUCUGCUAAUCUAGUGACUAAGAACAGGAUCUCACUGGAGCUCAAAGAUGUGGGGCACUGGGAAUACUCUGGGUCUGUCUGCUCACGGCUGAUUGCCUGAUCCCAGUUUUAUUAUACAGCUUAAAUACAGACCAGAAGAGGAGUUUGGGGCUUGACACCUGACGUCUUAACACCAGUUCCUGUUUCUUGAGGAAGGAAGAGGUAAAAUAAAUCAGCGUUUACUGUGUCCUUCUCCAUCCCCGGAAGUCUUCAUGAAGACCCUCUCAGCUUCUACUUGAACGUGAAUAUAGCAACUGAUCAUCUGUUCUGCAGUCAGCCCCUGGCCUGAUUCUGACUCAUGAUAUUGACCUUCUCCAUCAUCACCUUCCACAAAUUUGAUUCCUAUCUAUUCUGCCUGGAAUAGUUCAUGAGUAUAGUCACCAUUUAUGUUCCUGACGAAAGACAUUAUGCUCAUUCUCAGGGCCCUGAGACCUCAUCUGCAGCAGGAGAAGGCAUUUGUGGAGAAAGGCAGAUUCCAUGUGUGCAGGCAAAGUGUGUGCUGACAUGAUGAGACCCUGGAGACCAGGGUGGACUCUUCAGACCCAGGACAGGCCUCUGGCAGGUAUGUGUCAAUGUUUUCUGCCCGUGGCACUCACCCGGGUAUUUGCAUACAGUGUCAUCAGCGGAAUUAGUAGUCUCCGGAGAGGCUGCCACAUGUCAACAAGCUUCACCUGGCCAGAGUCCACCCGUGAUGUAGCUCCCCAAUCAGUCACUACUGCCUAGACCUUCCAGAUAGACUAGCAGAUCUUCUCUGCCCAUGGGCAACCAGUAGAGCCAGAGGCCUUCCCCCUUUGCUCUUUCGUCUCUAGGCACUCUAUCAGGCACUCCAAGCUGUGAAGUGACUCAGGGAGAGAAGGAAGAGAUUUCAGAGAAUGAACACAUACAGAGAGAGAGGCAAGAGAUGCUGAGUGGGGAUGUCUUGCGUACUGAUAUCCUCAGGAAAGUGGGAAAAUUGGACCCUGGCCUGCUCUGCCAAUGCCGUGAAGCAGUCCGCUCCAGGGGCUCCCUUGUGCCUGCAUAGCCUUUCCCAGGGUGUGCUCAAAUCCUGUGGCCACUAGGUGUCCUAGGUCACAAUGGAGGACCCUGUGUCAUCUGCCUGGCGGACUGGAUCUCUGCCAUUGGCUGAGUCUUGUCACCAGGCCCAUCAUAAGCUCUGCCCACUCUUCCGGUGGGGAGACUCUCUCCAUGGUGAUGGCAAAGAAACCUUAGUCCUGCCCACCUGGCCUUCACUUCACGUACCUGGCCUGCUGACCCUCACUCAGACCUCUGUGUUGAUCAAAAUGAAUGUCCGCCAGUGGCCCGGUGUCAGCGUCUGGUAAAAAGGAUUCGGGACCAUGCCUGAGGCAGAAGGCAGCCUAGGUCUGCGGGUACCUGGAAGUCUAGUGACUUGUGACGCUGCUGCCAGUGACAAAUGGUGACUCCCACACUCACAUAUCCCCUGGCGGCAGAAGGAUAGUGAUGGGUGGAGAAACAUGGCUCCGGAGCACACGUUCAGUGGGGCACCGGCGAAAUGCCAGGGCCAGUAGUGGACGUCGUGGAGCUGCAUGGCGAGCCACUGAAGGGCCUAAGGAUUUCUCCGAUGAGGCAAAAUGCAGAUCAAGCCAAGGAACACAAAGAUAAAGCAGCUGAAGAAAUUAAAAAGGUUACUCAAGAACAUAAUUAAAAAUUUAAUAAGCUGUAAGAAACCAUAGAGAGACUGCAAUCAGAGAUUGAGAAGAUUAACAAUAAAAUUACAGUUAGAAAACUCAAUAGAAAGUAAGAAGAGCACAAUUGAGGAAUUGGAAGGCAGAAUUACUGAGAUUGAAGAUCAAACUCUUGGGACUAAUAUAUUUGAUGAGAAAGCAGAUAAAAGAAUUUUAAAUGAAGAAAUCCAAAGAAUCAUGUGGGACUUUAUCAAGAGAAAUAACUAUGAGUGAUUUCAGUACCAGAACAGGGAGGGCUAACAGAAAAUACAAAGGGAACUGUUGAAGAUUUGUUGGCAGAAAACUUCCAUGAUAUCAUGAAAGAUGCUCAUCGAAUUCCACAUAAGGUAGAUCUCAAAAGAAAGUGACCGAGACACAUAAUAAUCAAACUUGCCAAAAUCAAAUAUAAAGAGAAUUUUAAGAGAGGCUAGGGAUAAAGGAAGUCACCAACAAAGGAGAGUAAAUAAUAAAAA